UGCCAGCCGCCGCGGUAAUACGAGGGGUGCAAGCGUUAAUCGGAAUUACUGGGCGUAAAGGGUGCGUAGGCGGCCUGAUAAGUCAAAUGUGAAAUCCUUGGGCCCAACCCAAGAACUGCAUUUGAUACUGUCAGGCUUGAACAUGAGAGAGGGUGAUGGAAUUCUUGGUGUAGGGGUGAAAUCCGUAGAUAUCAAGAGGAACGUCAGGGGCGAAAGCGAUCACCUGGAUCAUUGUUGACGCUGAGGCACGAAAGCGUGGGGAGCAAACAGGAUUAGAUA
rnacentral:rRNA from 1 species